UACGGGGGGGGCAAGCGUUGUUCGGAAUUACUGGGCGUAAAGGGCUCGUAGGUGGCCAACUAAGUCAGACGUGAAAUCCCUCGGCUUAACCGGGGAACUGCGUCUGAUACUGGAUGGCUUGAGUUUGGGAGAGGGACGCGGAAUUCCAGGUGUAGCGGUGAAAUGCGUAGAUAUCUGGAGGAACACCGGUGGCGAAGGCGGCAUCCUGGACCAAUUCUGACACUGAGGAGCGAAAGCCAGGGGAGCAAACGGG
rnacentral:rRNA from 1 species